ACGUACGUAUCCAUUUAUGUUCACUUUAGUCCCUCGAAAUAAAAAGAGAAGAAAGAGUUUGCGAAAUUUUUUUUGCACUAGUAAACUUUUAUCUGUGCCAAAUCACAGCCACCAAUUUGAAACAUUUUAACGGUAAUAUAGGUAGGUUUUUUAGCUCAUUUUGCUGCGGACAGUAUGUAUCAUUGAAUUACAGCUAGCUCCUGCAUAAGGAUGAACUUAAAUCUGCUAAAAUUAGCCAUUUUCUUCGUUCUGUGUUGGGCACAUUUUGUGUCUGGAGCUGGGUUUGGUCGAUGUCCACGAGGUCAAUAUUUCUCCUUGCAGCAAAAUAGAUGCGUUGCGUCCCCUGUGACACGUCCUGGAUGAAGGAACCCUAAUCACGCUAACAAUGAAUGAAGGUCUACCAGCGUGCAAUCUCCAAUUUUUGAUAAAACCCGUGUUAAUCGAUCAAAAAUUUAAUUAUCAUGAAAUUUGGCAAAGAUAUUAUCUGAUAGAGCACAAAGAAUUAUUGGAAUUUGCCAGAGAUAGUUGCAUCCAAAGGUGCCAUUAAUUUGACAAAUUUUAUACUUUCUAAAAUAUACUGUCAAUUUAUAAAAGAUUAGAAAUAAAUAAUUCAAUUCGUCCUCAAAUUUGUACCGGUUAAUUUUUCGAAUUUAAUAAAAUGUAUGUAUUAU